rnacentral:RNase_P_RNA from 1 species
CAAGCAAGCUGGACAGCCGCGCGGGCAGGCCUAAAGGCCGUUCCGUGAGGAAAGUCCGGGCUCCACAGGGCAAGGAUAACGGGUAACACCCGCCGGGGGCGACCCUAGGAAAAGUGCAACAGAAAUAAACCACUGGCCGGCGCAAGCCUGCCAGAAAGGGUGGAAAGGCGAGGUAAGAGCUCACCCAAUGGCGUGUCAAGCGCCCAUUGCUGUAAACUCUAUCCGGAGCAAC